UACGAAGGGGGCUAGCGUUGCUCGGAAUUACUGGGCGUAAAGCGCACGUAGGCGGACUUUUAAGUCGAGGGUGAAAUCCUGGAGCUCAACUCCAGAACUGCCUUCGAAACUGAAAGCCUUGAGUUCGGGAGAGGUGAGUGGAUCUGCGAGUGUAGAGGUGAAAUUCGUAGAUAUUCGCAAGAACACCAGUGGCGAAGGCGGCUCACUGGCCCGAUACUGACGCUGAGGUGCGAAAGCGUGGGGAGCAAACAGG
rnacentral:rRNA from 1 species